rnacentral:rRNA from 1 species
GGUACGGCGGCUUAAACAUGCAAGUCGAGGGGCAGCACGGGUAGCAAUACUUGGUGGCGACCGGCGCAAGGGUGCGUAACGCGUGAGCAACAUGCCCGUAUCAGGGGGAUAAUCCAGGGAAACUUGGUCUAAUACCCCAUAGUAAUUUCGUAAGGCAUCUUAUGGGAUUUAAAGCUUUGGUGGAUACGGAUUGGCUCGCGUGACAUUAGCUAGAUGGUAAGGUAACGGCUUACCAUGGCUAUGAUGUCUAGGGGUUCUGAGAGGAAGGUCCCCCACACUGGAACUGAGACACGGUCCAGACUCCUACGGGAGGCAGCAGUGAGGAAUAUUGGACAAUGGAUGGAAAUCUGAUCCAGCCAUGCCGCGUGAAGGAAGAAUGUCCUAUGGAUUGUAAACUUCUUUUGUAUGGGAGCAAUAAGGUCUUCGUGAAGACUGAUGAGAGUACCAUACGAAUAAGCAUCGGCUAACUCCGUGCCAGCAGCCGCGGUAAUACGGAGGAUGCGAGCGUUAUCCGGAUUUAUUGGGUUUAAAGGGUGCGUAGGCUGUUAUAUAAGUCAGUGGUGAAAUAUUCGGGCUCAACCGGGAUACUGCCAUUGAUACUGUAUAGCUGGAAUAUGGUUGCUGUGGGUGGAAUGUGUGGUGUAGCGGUGAAAUGCAUAGAUAUCACACAGAAUAUCGAUUGCGAAGGCAACUCACAAAGCCAUUAUUGACGCUGAUGCACGAAAGUGUGGGGAUCAAACAGGAUUAGAUACCCUGGUAGUCCACACUGUAAACGAUGAUAACUAGCUGUCGGCGAUAGAUAGUCGGUGGCUAGCGAAAG